GCAUAUCAAUAAGCGGAGGAAAAGAAACCAACAGGGAUUGCCCUAGUAACGGCGAAGUGAAGCGGCAACAGCUCAAAUUUGAAAUCUGGCUCUUUCAGGGUCCGAAGUUGUAAUUUGUAGAGGGUGCUUUGGAGUUGACUGUGGUCUAAGUUCCUUGGAACAGGACGUCGCAGAGGGUGAGAAUCCCGUAUGUGGCCGCCAGUCUUCGCCGUGUAAAGCCCCUUCGACGAGUCGAGUUGUUUGGGAAUGCAGCUCUAAAUGGGAGGUAAAUUUCUUCUAAAGCUAAAUAUUGGCCAGAGACCGAUAGCGCACAAGUAGAGUGAUCGAAAGAUGAAAAGCACUUUGGAAAGAGAGUCAAAAAGCACGUGAAAUUGUUGAAAGGGAAGCGCUUGCAGCCAGACUUGCCUGUAGUUGCUCAUCCGGGCUUUUGCCCGGUGCACUCUUCUAUAGGCAGGCCAGCAUCAGUCCUGGCGGUCGGAUAAAUGCCUGCUGAAUGUACCUCUCCUCGGGGAGGACUUAUAGCGGUGGGCGGCAUACGACCAGCCGGGAUUGAGGUCCGCGCAUCUGCUAGGAUGCUGGCGUAAUGGCUGUAAGCGGCCCGUCUUGAAACACGGACCAAGGAGUCUAACAUCUAUGCGAGUGUUUGGGUGUCAAGCCCGAGCGCGUAAUGAAAGUGAACGGAGGUGGGAACCCCUCGGGGCGCACCAUCGACCGAUCCUGAUGUCUUCGGAUGGAUUUGAGUAAGAGCAUAGCUGUUGGGACCCGAAAGAUGGUGAACUAUGCCUGAAUAGGGUGAAGCCAGAGGAAACUCUGGUGGAGGCUCGCAGCGGUUCUGACGUGCAAAUCGAUCGUCAAAUUUGGGCAUAGGGGCGAAAGACUAAUCGAACUAUCUAGUAGCUGGUUCCUGCG
rnacentral:rRNA from 1 species